GACGAACGCUGGCGGCGUGCCUAAUACAUGCAAGUCGAACGCAGUGGGGACGGGUGAGUAACACGUGGGUAACCUCCCAUCAGAGGGGAUAACACUUGGAAACAGGUGCUAAACCGAUACUGAUGGAUGGACCCGCGGUGCAUUAGCUAGUUGGUGAGGUAACGGCUCACCAAGGCCACGAUGCAUAGGCGACCUGAUAGGGUGUUCGGCCACACUGGACCUGAGACCCGCCCCAGACUCCGCCGGUAGGCAGCAGUAGGGAAUCUUCCGCAAUGGACGAAAGUCUGACGGAGCAACGCCGCGUGAGUGAAGAAGGUUUUCGGAUCGUAAAACUCUGUUUUUAGAUAAGCGGUAUCUAACCAGAAAGCCCCGGCUAACUACGUGCCAGCAGCCGCGGUAAUAC
rnacentral:rRNA from 1 species